UACGUAGGUGGCGAGCGUUGUCCGGAUUUACUGGGCGUAAAGAGCGCGCAGGCGGCUGGUCAAGUCCGAUGUGAAAGCUCCCGGCUUAACUGGGAAAUUGCAUCGGAAACUGAUCGGCUGGAAGGUGGGAGAGGGUAGCGGAAUUCCCGGUGUAGUGGUGAAAUGCGUAGAUAUCGGGAGGAACACCAGUGGCGAAAGCGGCUACCUGGCCCAUUCUUGACGCUGAGGCGCGAAAGCUAGGGGAGCAAACAGGAGUUAGAUAUCCAU
rnacentral:rRNA from 1 species